UUACACUGCUGUUGUCUCUAUUGUUAAACUUCACACAUUAUCAUGGCAUAACUCUGCAAACGCAUGAAAGUUGCUUCGAAUCAACAUCUAUUUUUAUAAUCCUAUUUAUGAUUCAUGUCCAAAACUCUUAUGGCUUGUCCAAAAAAAAUAAAAAUAAAAUCUGUUUUCUCGUAUAGUUCGGAAACGACAUAAGCCGGAAGAGACAUCACAGAUGAGUGAAACCGAAACACAGAUACUGGAUAUUCUACAACAAGCAGUAAAUACACGAGCAGAACAGUACCAGCUGUCUAGUAUGGUUGAUGUUUGUUGCUUUUUUAGGGAGUAAAGUGGGUCACUCAUUCCCAGCUCGGUCUGUUUCAACAUACGCCGAUGUGUCUCUGUUGGUGCUACAGACAAGCUAGCAGUCAACGUCAGACACGUUGGAGCGACAAUAUAAUGACUGGUGAAGGUUGCCCCUGUGUCACCUUCCAAGCUGCCCUGCAAAGACCCACUAGUCUUUACCAAGCUCAUCUUCCUCCUGGAUCAACUUCACCCUCCUCUGGCUGAUCAUCUGCUACCAGACCCCGCUCAUUCCUCCUUGGCGGUUCAGCAUCUCAUCUCCUGUAAGCACAUUCUCCCUUCCAAUAUCCUCCAGCACCUUACUAAUCCAACUUAUCUUUCAUGUACAAUUAAAGACUCAUUCUCUGUUCCCAGAUUCCUGAUUCACUUAUCAAACCAGUUACAAUAAACAUUUUAAACUUUC